rnacentral:rRNA from 1 species
CAAUAGCGUAUAUUAAAGUUGUUGCGGUUAAAAAGCUCGUAGUUGGAUCUCGGCAGGCAGGGGGUGGUUCGCUCUUAGCGCUACUGCCCCAUUUGCCUGUGUGAUUGGCGGAGGUUUCGGGGUGCUCUUCGUUGAGUGACCCGGGGCGCCGUCAGGUUUACUUUGAAAAAAUUAGAGUGCUCAAAGCAGGCUUUUCACGCUUGAAUAUUCGUGCAUGGAAUAAUGGAAUAGGAACUCGUUUCUAUUUUGUUGGUUUUCGGAAGUCGAGUUAAUGAUUAAUAGGGACAAUUGGGGGCAUUAGUAUUCAGACGACAGAGGUGAAAUUCUUGGACCGUCUGAAGACUAACUACUGCGAAAGCAUUUGCCAAGAGUGUUUUCAUUAA